UUUGAUGUGUGAACCGUAACUUCCGUCGUAUCAUCUCCCCUCAAUUCAUAUGACGGAGUAACUCAAAGUGAUCAUGAUGGAUAAUCAAUUCAUCCCACUAUCUCCCCUGCAAUUAAGAUUUCUCACUUUUCCUUUAAACCAAAACGACUAUAUAUAAAUGUCGAGAAGGUGCUCCAGACGAAUCGCAAAGGUUCUUUAAACCGUAGUAUAAACCCUAGAAACAGAGCUUCCACUGAUGACUAUUAACCAGCUUCAUUUUACAAUUUGAAGGCAAAACAUUAUAAGGAGACCGUUGUUAAAAGUCUUCUUCGUUUUUGGGAGAUAAGGACGUGAAGAAAGCGGGUAAGCUUCUGGGCUUUAACCUGGUUUCUCCUGAUGAGAAGACGACGUUGAUCCAAGGGUCUAUAGGAGUUCAUAGACUCAACACUUUCAAACAUCUGCUGAAGGAAGGGUAAAUCUAUGGGCUAAGCAUAUUCGAUGUUACUAGAAGAAACAGCCACUUCAAGCUCACCGACUCACGUGUUGCCAUACACUUCAACAACCAGACCAAGAUUGUGGAGCUGGCAGAGCCGAUCCCAACAUAAAAUUCCAGGCUUCCAAAAUAUGAAUAACUUAUGGUUUUGGCAAAUACAAACGUGAAUUUUCCGGAUGUUUUUGGUGAUGUUUGUGACAUCAAGACCACCUACAAGGAUGAGAAUCAUGCUAUUCAACGUGUUGUGGUUACAGUUCCUAUUGACAGGCCGGCUAUUUCUUAGAUGGUGACAAGGCAAGUGCCACUGACCAGAACACUGGAAGUAAUGACCUCUCCAUGAACCCCACGGGUCCAUCUGCAGCAGAAGCAGCAAGUGAUGAACUCAAUUCUGGCAGGAUCAUUGCAGAGGAACGACAGCUUCCAGGAGCUGGUUGCCCACUCAAGAAGGCCCGCUCAAGAUUACUUACUCAAGUCAUCUACCUUAUAACCCUUCUAUUUCUUACAAGCUUAGUUCACAUUAUGAUUUUUUUACAUUACAUAAUUUUCUUUCAGUUUCUAUGAUUUCAGCUAAAUAACAACUGUGUUCUUCGAUUAUUAAACUCAUGUCUACAUUU